UUCUUUUUUUCUUCUUCUUUU
rnacentral:sRNA from 1 species